UCCCUCGCUUCAGUUCCUUGCGCGUACUGUAUACUGCGGCGGCGGGAGCAGCGGCGGCAAGGAUACUCAAACUGCGUAGCCGGGCUCCGCUGCCAGAGCGCCGCAAUUUGCGCACGGUCCCUUACGCAACCGUCCGCUGGGGGAUUCCCUGGAGGGGGUCGAUACCAUCCCGCCACCGCACUCAAGGCCCCAGGAGCCGUUUACAGGGCGGCCUUCGGACCGAGGAGGAGGCGGCGGCGGCGCCAGCACAGCACCAACAACGGCCGCUCAGCUCUUCACAAAAUGGCGGCGCCCACGGAAAAGAGCAGCCCCAUUUUGUGCCCGUGGAGCUGUCACAGCAGCGGAGAGAGAGAGAGUGAGAGACAGGCUCGGCUGAAGGGGGGCCGCGCGGAGCAGAAGGCGGCGGCCGGGUCAACGCGUUGAAAGAGAAUCAAACCAGCACUUCUUCCCCAAGCGAAGGAUGGGCAGAGUUGUAAGACUUUUAACGCGCGUCACGUCUGGGAAUGCAUAACUCUCGUGCUCCCUUUUUGCAAUUGUGCCUUUCUGACUGUAUCUCGCCUUGUUAAAUCUGAUGCUCUCUUCCGAGUUGCAGUGCUGGCAACCCUGCAAGGUACAUCUACGUUUAUGUAAGGGAUCUCGUGUUUGGUCUUGUUAUCAAUGGCUUUUUUUUCCCUUACGAAGAUGAUGUUUCGUUUUUAACAAGCUCUUUUUUUAAAAGGGAUUUUUAAAAAAAACUAAACUUGAAUCGCUUGUUUUAAUGGUUAGAUUAUUUAGCACUAGCCUGCGGAAAUUAUUUUGAAAAGGCUUAAAAGUGAUGCCUUGAGGCUGCUGUGGUUUGCAAUGCAUUGUCCUAAUUCUGGAAAAAAACAACCAACCUCAUCGUAACGCUUUUUCAUUUCGCUUUGUGCGAUCAAAGUGCCUUAGUGAGCAGCACAAAUUAAACUACGGACUUGAUUUGGUAAUAUUUAUGAAAAAUAAACGCUCAACUGGAACACUGCCUAAUUGUAUACUCUUAAUUUGUACCGAUGUUAACAUUAACUUUGUUAGAAUGCAGAAACUGUGAUUUUGCCACAGACUUAUUUAUAGUAGAAUUUAAAAGGUAGUUAUGAAACAAAGCCACUGUGGUCAUUUCCCCAGUGCUAAUUCGUGCCCACAGUUAACUGUUUUACUAACGCAUCUACUUCUCCCUUCUGCUUACUAUCCUUUUAUGCAAUGGUUGUUGUUUUCCUAUGUGGUUUUGGCUUUCUUCUCAGGAGUAGACUGCUGCAGCUUGCUUUCUGGCAUUUUGGUUUUGUUACUUUUAAGUAUAGACAUCAUUAGUUUUUGUUAAUAAAGAACUUCAAGCUUCCUAGCGUAAGCCAUGUAUCUUUACUCAGAAGGAAGCCCCACUGCGUUCCAUGGGGUUUACUCCCAGGUAAGUUUACAUAGGAACUAUAUGCUUCAGUAGUAUGGGUUUCUCUUAGAAUUUGAGUCAUUAUAUAUGCUUUAUAUUUUAAAUAACAAGUACUUGCACUAGUUGUUGAAGGUUGUAGUCCCACAGUGUGCAUUUUAUUCAGCUAAAUAAUCAAGGCAAGAAUAUAUUUACACUAGGCAAGCAUAUCUUAUUUCUUUGUUCACACCUUGAAAAUUCUAUUUCCCAGAGCCUAUCACACUCUUAAUAUAAAAAGACUUGCUUGUUAAGCACUUUUACCAAACACAUUCUGGAAAAGACUGUUCCUUUUUAUUAAAAAAAGAUGCUUUCUUUCACAACUCUUUGUUAUAUCCAUUUUAAAUUGAGAUGCGAUUUAAGGUGAUAACGCCAAUGCAAAUAGCGUUUCUGUUUAGCGUAACUAAAAUAUUGUCAUUUGUCUUUUUAUCACCCCCCCCCAAAGUGAUUAAGUUGUGACUCUUAGCUAUAAGGAGAGUCACCUAAAAUUGAACCUUGUCACUUAAUGGUCACAUCCAUUAAGCUAGCUCUGCAGUAUGAUUUGAAGCAUCCUUACUCAAUGGUAAAUCUCACUGUACUCAGUGGGACUACCUCUUAAAGUGGAUAGAUUGGAGCCUCAACUUCACAAAUACUCAUCCUCAUAAUCCACAUGAGACUUGCAUUAAUCAAAGUACUUAUCUAAACUAAGCUAUGUAGCAAGCUGUAUUCACAUGGCUCAUGAUUUAUAUUCAAUGAAUCCUAAGUUAUCUGUUGUGGAACACCUGGAGCUGUGAUAAAUUUGUUUAUAGGAUGGCAGGCUGGUAUACAUUCUUAAAAGACAAUAAGAUAUUUGACUGUUUCUUUAACACUGUGGUCUUGGAUAAAUUUCUUUGAGCAUUUACAGCAUUUGUGUCCCUAGUUUUUAUCAGUAGCUAUAUACAUGGCAUGCUUAAAUGUUGUGUCAAUAUUUGUCCUUUCUUAUGAAACAUAACUAGGUUGAUAUAUGACAUUGGGUUGCAUUUCAAACGACAACCAAAAAAUGAAGGUUUGAGUUUCCUCAAAAAUAGGGAAAAAAAUGCUUCUUGACACUUAAGAAUCUGGUGGAUUUAAGACAAUUGGUGUAAGUUUUCCAGCAAAUGAUGCAAAAUCAUGCAGAUGAGCUUGUGCUGACCUGCAAGCCUUUAUGGUAAAAUUACUCUUAAAGGAUAGCUAACUGAUAUUCUGAGUAAGCAGAGCUAUGUAUUCAUUAAUGAGAAGGGCUAUUGGUUCCUGUAGUGAUUGUAAAGGGGAGAGUGCUCCUAAAGGAAGUGUCGAAGUCCAGUCUGACAUCUAUUCGUUUUUUUAAAAGAAAAGAGGGAGUUGUUCAGUAGGGAAGUAAGGGAACCUCUUUCAACGUAAAGGUACAGUGCCAAUAAGUGUUAUAAGAUGGGAAGUGCAAUCACCUCCCCACCCCAACCCAACCACCCCAGUUCCCAAAUGACUACAUCUCAGUACUUGGAAAAAAUUAAUACUUUCCAGUUGUCUGCCUACCAUGCAGCUGUUAAAAGCAGUUGGGGGGAGAUGAUUUCCUUUUUCUCCCAGAGAAAUUUAAGUAUGGGGGGGGUCGCCCCCCUCCAAAUGUUUACUGAGCAUAGUUAAAUUUGGUUAUUUUCUCAUCAGUUUAAUCCUAAACAUUGGUUUAUACCACACCAGCUAAACUGAGGUCCUAGGUUGAUAGCAAGGGCAGCAAUCUCUAUUUGCUUUUUAUGCAUUGAAGAACAAGGUACCUUUCUGCAUCAACACUAACUCCCUGUAUUGCAUCCUGGUAUUAAGUCAAGCUUCCAUAUUGUCAUGCCUCUCUUAAGUCUCUUAAGUAUAGGAAAUGAUCGAAGAACAGAAGUUCAGGUUUCUUCUGUACAUUACUAUUAAAUCAAAUACUCAAGCUUUGCCUAGUUUGUGAACUGAAGUUUUUGCACUAAAUAAAAACCAGUGCUCAUAUAUUAAAAGUGUAUGAACUUUGGACCAUUUUGCGCAGAACAGUAAACUAUAUUUUAGGGUUGUAAGGACAAGACUCAAUGAUUCCAAACCAGCUGCAAGGAGGAGUUCAGAAGCUUUCACUACAGUUGAAGGUUUUGAUGCAAGACUUUAACUAUACUUAAUCUUUACUGGUUUGUGGAAACAAAGCAUUGUUGAAAACUAUUUUUGGGGAGGUAGCUUGUUUCUACUAAUCAUAAUUAAGACUAACAGCAAUUUGUCUGGUUUCAGAUGCCAUGACAAGCUAUGGUUAGGUCAGAAUGGAAGCAAAAGCUUCUGAACCCUUCAAGGUAACACCAGAGGAAGAAACAAGGAGGAGUACAAGAACCGCAGAGCUGCUGGAGUUCAUCAUAAUGAUAAUCUAUAGCAGUGGUUGCCAAUGGAUGGUCUGCUGACCACAAGGAGUCUGUGUAACCCACCCACGGGUUCCGUGGCACCAUUCACAUAACAAAAACUACCGUAGAAAUAAAUAAGUUUUCAAAAGUC